rnacentral:rRNA from 1 species
GACGAACGCUGGCGGCGUGCUUAACACAUGCAAGUGGUGCGACGAACCAGGCUUCGGCCUGGGGCGAAGCCGCGAACGGGUGAGUAACACGUGGGCAAUCUGCCCCUUUGAUCGGGACAACCCGGGGAAACCCGGGCUAAUACCGAAUGAGGUGGCGACUCAUGAGAGUCGUCACGAAAGGAAGCUUCGGCCUCCGCGAAGGGAUGAGCCCGCGGCCCAUUAGCUUGUUGGUGGGGUAAUGGCCUACCAAGGCAACGAUGGGUAGCUGGUCUGAGAGGAGAAUAAGCCACACUGGGACUGGGACACGGCCCAGACGCCUACGGGAGGAAGCAGUGGGGAAUAUUGCGCAAUGGGCGAAAGCCUGACGCAGCAACGCCGCGUGGGGGAUGACGGCCUUCGGGUUGUAAACCUCCUUCAGCAGGGAAGAAGCGAAAGUGACGGUACCUGCAGAAGAAGCACCGGCUAACUACGUGCCAGCAGCCGCCGUAA